rnacentral:rRNA from 1 species
UACGAAGGGGGCGAGCGUUGUUCGGAAUUACUGGGCGUAAAGGGCGCGUAGGCGGCCCCUUUUGUCGCGUGUGAAAGCCCCGGGCUCAACCUGGGAGGUGCGCGCGAAACGGGGGGGCUUGAGUGCGGGAGAGGGAUGUGGAAUUCCAGGUGUAGCGGUGAAAUGCGUAGAUAUCUGGAGGAACACCGGUGGCGAAGGCGGCAUCCUGGACCGACACUGACGCUGAGGCGCGAAAGCUAGGGUAGCAAACGGG